GAACGCUGGCGGCGUGCUUAACACAUGCAAGUCGAACGGAAAGGCCCUGCUUUUGUGGGGUGCUCGAGUGGCGAACGGGUGAGUAACACGUGAGUAACCUGCCCUUGACUUUGGGAUAACUUCAGGAAACUGGGGCUAAUACCGGAUAGGAGCUCCUGCUGCAUGGUGGGGGUUGGAAAGUUUCGGCGGUUGGGGAUGGACUCGCGGCUUAUCAGCUUGUUGGUGGGGUAGUGGCUUACCAAGGCUUUGACGGGUAGCCGGCCUGAGAGGGUGACCGGCCACAUUGGGACUGAGAUACGGCCCAGACUCCUACGGGAGGCAGCAGUGGGGAAUAUUGCACAAUGGGCGGAAGCCUGAUGCAGCAACGCCGCGUGCGGGAUGACGGCCUUCGGGUUGUAAACCGCUUUCGCCUGUGACGAAACGUGAGUGACGGUAAUGGGUAAAGAAGCACCGGCUAACUACGUG
rnacentral:rRNA from 1 species